rnacentral:sRNA from 20 species
AUUACUUCAGGCUAGGGUUCCGGCUUUCCCAGGGAAAGUGACUGGUCCGAGAGCUUGAGGCUUCGUCAUACGAAGCUCCACGGAGGGAUAAAAGCCCGGGAGGU